GUAUAUGUGUAUAUAUACGGGCGGGAUGUAGGCGAACGUGAGAUAUAGGUGUUACGUAAAAAUAGUAUGGAAUAAGGGGUGGAGAAUAACUGGUUGCCAGGGAAGGCCUAGACCAAACCAUCA